UAGUAUGCAGUUCUCAAGGAAAACAGUCAAGGAAAAUUUUGUAUAAUUACCAAAGGAAUUUCGAACCAACGAAAGUAAUUGAAAAAAGUAGGCGGAAAAACAAAACAUUUGAUGUGUUCAUUCUUUAGUUGAUUUUCAAAAAGUCAUUCAGAAGUUUUAGUAUGUCAACCAUGGAACCGACCGACCUAUUUAAGUUUCUAUCGUCCUCUAGUGGCACUGGUGCUUGAUGUCCAAUUGUGAGAACUUGAAUUAUGCACCGCAGGCUGCACCUUGGCGUCCGAUUGGCUGAGUUGAUCCCUGCCAAGAGAGUCAAUUCUUGAGGGGCGUCAAAAUGAGGAUUCAUUGCAUGAUGAAUAGAGCAGUUUUGAAAACCUGAAUUAAAUUCAAAAUGUUGGAUGGUCCGGAUUAGUUCCAUUUUUGGUCGCUAUGGGCCGUUCACCGAUAGACUUCUGGAUCCGUACGAUUAGUUGCUCGUGAUAUAUAGAAAAACUCCUUGUAAUCCGAAAAAAUACGUUUAUAACAUCAUUUGGUUCAGAGGACUUGCCUAGGUCCGAAGAGCAAAGACAAUUAUCGACCAGCCCACUCCAGAGUAUGAUUUUACUGGCUCCACAACCAGCAGUGUUUUCUAAUCAUAACGAACAACUAACUCCAGUUUUUUGACUUCCUUAUGUCUGUAUAAACCAUGUAUAAACUUACUCCAGAGUUGAU